CCAACCCGUUGACGAGAAAUUUCACUUUUAAAUUCGAGCAGGGGAGAGCAGUGGAGCGUCAUUUUUGUAGAAGCACGACGCGUGACGGCGUUUUAACAGUGCUUCACUAAUCUCUCGCCACCCAAACUUAAAAGUGGAAUGACUCGUCAUUCCACAGGUUGAUGGAAAUUAAAAACACCAAAAAGUAUUUAAACUAAAACUCAAUAUAUUUAUGGAAUAUUUGGUUGCUAUAUUUUCAAAAUCAAAAGUGGGUAAGGGUUUCACCUCCGAAAAUAAAAGUGAAAACAAUAAGUAUGGACAUAAUGUUUUAUAAUAUAUAAUUCCAAAAAAUUUUUAAAUGGGUCAUUUUUUUUUAAAAAAAAUUAAAUAGUUUGUGAAAAAUUUGACUAAAAUUUGGAACAUUUUGUGGCCUGUAUAUUAUUAUUUUUCGUAUACACUUAUGGGUUUAUACAUGUACUCUUAAUUGUUUAAUGACAUGGUUAAU